CCUACGGGCGGCAGCAGUGGGGAAUAUUGGACAAUGGGGGGAACCCUGAUCCAGCCAUGCCGCGUGUGUGAAGAAGGCCCUCGGGUUGUAAAGCACUUUCAGUGAGGAAGAACGCCUGGUGGUUAAUACCCAUCAGGAAAGACAUCACUCACAGAAGAAGCACCGGCUAACUCCGUGCCAGCAGCCGCGGUAAUACGGAGGGUGCGAGCGUUAAUCGGAAUUACUGGGCGUAAAGCGCGCGUAGGUGGCUUGAUAAGCCGGUUGUGAAAGCCCCGGGCUCAACCUGGGAACGGCAUCCGGAACUGUCAAGCUAGAGUGCAGGAGAGGAAGGUAGAAUUCCCGGUGUAGCGGUGAAAUGCGUAGAGAUCGGGAGGAAUACCAGUGGCGAAGGCGGCCUUCUGGACUGACACUGACACUGGGGUGCGAAAGCGUGGGUAGCAAACAGGAUUAGAUACCCGUGUAGUC
rnacentral:rRNA from 1 species